rnacentral:lncRNA from 1 species
AUUAUAAUUUCGAUAUUGCAAAUUCAACGUAUAAAACUAACAAAUAAAUAACAUAAAUUUAGCGAUGAUCAUGUACAGGAUUCUUACCUCGAUAAUUGAGAAUUCAAAUUCACAACCUUAUAGUCCGAAAAUCAAGCCCUACUCGUUGUCUCCCUGAUCGUUAGACUGUUCUCCUAUCAAACAAAAAUAAAUUAAUUUAACCAAA